rnacentral:tRNA from 1 species
GCCCAGAUGGUGGAAUCGGUAGACACAAGGGAUUUAAAAUCCCUCGGCGUUCGCGCUGUGCGGGUUCAAGUCCCGCUCUGGGCAC